rnacentral:lncRNA from 1 species
GCAGCAACGCGGCCUCUCCACCUCCUCCACCGCCUCUCGUCAAACAUCGAGGCUCCAGCCUCCAGCAGCGCUAAGCUGCCGACGCCUCCGCCUCCUUCCCGAAGAAAAAAAUCACCCCUCCUCUGCAUGGCCAUUGCCCAAGUACAGCUCAUCCCCAUGGCUGUUGUCCACACGCAGCUCCCCUGCCAUCUCGCACUGCUCGAGUUUCAGCCCUGAUUUUUCUAUCCCUCCAGUUUGUGAUUCCAUGUUUCCGGUGAUGUUCUCUUUCCUAUCUGAACAGAUCGAUCUUGAGAC